AAAAUAAUUCAAUUAUGAAAGUAAAAUCAAAUGUACUAACUAGGAAGUGCGUCUCCCAGGGGUGAAUCUGAAAACUCAAACUAGGAAGUGCGUCUCCUAGAUCAAAAACCAAAAAGACCCAGAAUAAGAAGUGCGUCUCUUAGGGGUUAAACUGAAAGACUCGACUAGGAAGUGUGUCUCCUAGGAGUAAAGGUUUGCAUUAGGAAAUGCGUCUCCUAAAGUAAAAACCAGAAAGACCCAGACUAAGAAGUGCGUCUCUUAGGGGUUAAACUGAAAUACUCAACUAGGAAGUGCAUCUCCUAGGAUUAAAGGUUUGCAUUAGGAAGUACGUUUCCUAAAGUCAAAAACCAGAAAGACCCAGACUAGGAAAUGCAUCUCUUCGGGGUUAGACUAAAAGACUCGACUAGGAAGUGCGUCUCCUAGGAGUAUAGGUUUGCAUUAGGAAGUGCGUCU